CAUUACAGAAGACUGCAAGAUUAAAACAAAAAAUAAUUAUUGUUCAUUAUUGCCUUAUAUAUAGUAAUUGUGUGCGUUUGAUUUUAUUGAUGUUUUACUCAUUAAUUAAGCAGUUAUGUAAACUGGACAUAAAUAGAAGCCUAUAUAAAGAAAGAGGGCUAAGAACAUUCCCCAUUACUGAAUGAUCACUGACUUCUGUUUAAUUUCGCAAAAAAACUCCCGUUUUAAUGAAUGAAUCUGAUUACACUGCACAAUGAACUUUACAUCAUAUCUGCUGUUGUUUAUGAGGUCCUUGAGCGUGCCUAAACUAAAGUCUUUUGCAGUGUUUCGCUACUACCUGCAGUGUGAAUUGGGGUGUUUGAGAUGGAGAGAGACAGAUUUAUUUCUGCUUCGGAAGAUGGAGCUUUCAGUCAUCAGUGACGGUCAAUAGGUUAAAACCUAGCCUAUAUAUUGCAAGCAAAUAAUAGCCGUUUUUUACCAACACAAAAUAAGGCAGCAAAAACUCCCGUUAUAAUAAAUGAAUCUGAUUUUACUUCACAAUUAAUUUUACAUAGGUGCAGUGCGCCUAAAAUUCCUUUGCACAGUAUUCCAGCUUCCAGCUGUAGCAUGUAGCAUGCUUCUCUGUUACAAACUAAAGCCACUCUGUGAGUGAAGAGUAACAUUGCUUUCAGCCAAUAGAAAACACAGCGAUUUUUGGUGUUAUUUUUUAUUCUCAUUGGGUGGGCAAGAAAGAUGUUUAGGUGGGCUCAGACCACCCCUGCCCAUGCCUAGAGCCGGCCCUGCCCACAACACUGUUGCAACUGCCUAAAACACAACAGCAACAUCCUAGCAACCACCCACAACAUGAUAGCUACUUCCUAAAACACCAUAGCAACAUCCUAGCAACCACCCACAACACCAUAGCAACAUCCUAGCAACCACCCACAACAUGAUAGCAACUCCCUAAAACACCAUAGCAACAUCCUAGCAACCACCCAAAACACCAUAGCAACAUCCUAGCAACCGCCCACAACAUGAUAGCAACUCCCUAAAACACAAUAGCAACAUCCUAGCAACCACCCAAAACACCAUAGCAACAUCCUAGCAACCAUCCAAAAAAAUCUUAGAAAAUAACAACCACCCAAAGAGUACUGUAGCAACUUCCUAAACACCAUAGCAACAUCCUAGCAACCACGCAAAACACCAUAGCAACAUCCUAGCAACCAUCCAAAAAAAUCUUAGAAAAUAACAACCACCCAAAGAGUACUGUAGCAACUUCCUAAACACCAUAGCAACAUCCUAGCAACCACUCAGAACACCACAGCAAAUGUAUGCAAGUAUUUGAGCGGUGAAAGCAGAGCAGGAGUUGGAGCCUGGUUCAAGUCCCCAUGACACCUCACACAGAUGGAAUUAACUCUAAUCCUCUCACAUAAUCUCACUCACGUGCAGCUCAGAGAGAGAGAGAGAGAGAGAGUGUGUGUGUUAAGUGCUUAAGAAUGUCCUGAGCAUCGUGUUUAUGUCCCCGAGCUUCACGAUAUAACAGCAAACAUGUGCACGACCAUCAUGGUUCUGAGCACCAUCGCUCUUCUGCUGAGACAGACGUUCUUCAACCGCGUCCAUCCACAGCCAGACGCAAGCGGUCCGAAUGAGCAGCCAUAUGAGAAUGAUGCAACAUCUUCCAAACAAUAACAGGAAGAAACGCUCUUCAAGCGUCCGAGACUCCCCGAGGACGUUCUGGAAAAUCGAACAGGCCUCGUGAAAUAUUUAAGGACGUUGUCAUGUUUGAUACAAGACGACAAACGUGCAGCACGACCCACACGAGAGAGAGAGAGAGAGAGAGAGAGAGAGAGAGAGAAUUCAGAGAGAGCUGGAGACUCUACAAACACACUGAAGAUGGUCUGCCAGGAUAUUCUUGAGAAAAGAAGACAUUUAUCUCCUCACAAGACUUGAAAAGGAUAAAUCCUUCAUCCAGACAGACCUGUGAUACUGACCCUGAGCAACUUAAACAUGAAUAGACUCUCUUUCUAUGAACGCGUUUGUAUAUCUGGAUUUGGGUAAAUUUGAUGAGAAAUGUUUGAGUUCAUAUUGAGAUCUUCACUUGUGAUUGCAGACUUGACAAACCUGAGCUCAGUUUGACACGUUGUUGACAUCUCUUCUCAAACCAACGGAGACAUUUGUAAGAUUUCUGAGACGCAGAUGAGACUUAAACAAAAGCAAAAUCAAAACCCCAAAUCUCAACCAAUUUAGCUCAAAAACUCAAAUCAACUCGAUCACAUUCUUCCAAAACAUCUGAUCUGUGCUUCUUGCGUUACAACUCUUUAUUCUGACUGCAUAUCAACAAAUGUGCGCUUAAAAAUUAAUUUAAAGAGUAAAAAUGAAACAACAUGAGAUGACAAAAACUCCACAGGAAUGCUUCACAUUAACAGUCUAUUUUUGUUAUACUUGCUCAAUUUGGCCUUUUUUUUAACAAACAGUGUGUUUCUCCGGGUUCUGAGUUACAUAAGCUCCGGACAGAUGUUUUAAACUCAAAUCACGUGUCUCGUGACAUCCCAGGUGCGCUCCACAGGAGGUGAGGCUCGCUGAACUUCUGACCGACAGAAGGGGAUGAAAACCACAGCUGCCUUUGAAACUCAAACCAUCUGCUCCACAUUCAAUCCCAGGUGUCCACGCGAGUCCACAAAACACCACAUUCCACACAUGUAAACGCCUCACACGAGACGCAGCUGAACUUUCAACCGCUCGUGGGUUCAUGACGUCAAACACACAAACACAGAUUCAGGACCCACUGGGGAAUGAUGGACGCAUGAAUGAAAACACUUUCCACAAAUCAAGAACAAAUAGUGUCCGAUUACUCUCCUCAUUUAAACAUGUUAAAAUAAAGUCCCAGUUUACUUAAAUUAUAAUUAUAUAAACAAGUUUUUUUAUUAAAGGGAAAUAUCAGUUUUCAAGCUUUAAGCUGUAUUUUGCACCGCUCAGUAGCAAAUAUUUAUAAAGUACCAAAACCCACCUGAACAUUUUUCAAGCUGAUAAAGUAAUCACUUUUUAAUAGGCUACUCUUAAUGGGUACUUUUAUUUUCUUGUUUUUACAGGUACAACUUUAAUUGUUUUGCUUAUAGUCAAUAUGUCUCAUGUACAGCUGCUUUGUAACAAUGAAAAUGGUAAAAAGCGCUAUAUAAAUAAAGUUGAGUUGAGUUACUGAA